rnacentral:rRNA from 1 species
UACGGAAGGUGCAAGCGUUAAUCGGAAUUACUGAGCGUAAAGCGCGCGUAGGUGGCUUGAUAAGUCGGGUGUGAAAGCCCCGGGCUCAACCUGGGAAUUGCAUUCGAUACUGUCAAGCUAGAGUACGAGAGAGGGGGGUGGAAUUCCAGGUGUAGCGGUGAAAUGCGUAGAGAUCUGGAGGAACAUCAGUGGCGAAGGCGGCCCCCUGGCUCGAUACUGACACUCAGGUGCGACAGCGUGGGGAGCAAACAGG